rnacentral:rRNA from 1 species
GUCUACGGCCAUACCACCCUAAACAUGCCCGAUCUCGUCUGAUCUUGGAAGCUAAGCAGGGUCGGGACUGGUUAUUACUUGGACAGAAGUUAGUCUUGAUGAAAACG